rnacentral:snoRNA from 1 species
GCAUGGGUUUGGAUAUAUGGCAGGCCCGUUCCCCUGGGUCUCUCAUUGUGUCCCAUACUAGAGCAAUCCAUGGCCCCGAACCAUUGCCUGACCUGUGUCUGUAGGCUGCUGACACUGAAUGCUGACACUGAAGUGGGCCACAAAGUU